rnacentral:rRNA from 1 species
UAAGUACGCAGAUGAAACAAAACCAAACAUGACCCCUUCGGUAAUGGCGAAUGAAUAAGGAUUUGCUCGAUAUUGAAAUCAAAGCUUGUCAGCUUGAAUUGUAUUUGCUAAAUGAUACACCAGCUGGGGUGCAGGUGUAAGCCUGGUGGAAAAGAGCACCAGCGAGGGUGAGAGUCCCGUGUGUCACCUGCAACGCUUCGUAUACGGUGCGCAUAACAAGAGUCGCGCUCUUUGGAAAUUGAUCGCAAAGUAAGUGGUAAUCUUUACUUCAAGCUAAGCACCAGCACGAGCCCGAUAGUAAACAAAUACCAUGAGGGACAAAUGAAAAGAACUUUGGGAAGAGAGUUAAACAGUGUUUGAAAUUGUUGAAGUGGAAGCGAAAAUAAUUUGCGUGAUUUAAUAAGAUUGCUGCGCACAGCUUGCGCGUGUCUGCUUGUGUGCUGCGUGCGCCUGGCAUUGCAACGGCAUUAUGUGUGUUGUGUUUCUUAUCUCUGUCAUUUGCUAUGGUUUGCGAACGAGAAUAUAGGUGGAGUAUAGUAGCCAACUCUUGGGUUGGUGAUAGCUUUUUCUUUUUAAUUUGCAAGCUUGUCCAUGCUGUUAAAAUUAUUUCCGGCCCGUCUUGAAACACGGACCAAGGAGUCUAACACCCAUGCAAGCCCAUUGGCUGCAUUAGCUUGCGUGCACAAUGAAAAUAGCUGCUGGACUGUUGGGUACCAGCAACCAACCAUUUGCUUGAAAAUGGCUUGAGUAUGAGUAUGGCUGUUAGGACCCGAAAGAUGGUGAACUAUGUUUGUGAAGGGUGAACUCAGGGGAAACUCUGAUGGAAGCCCACAGCGAUACUGACGUGCAAAUCGUUCGUCGUACAUGGGCAUAGGGGCGAAAGACUAAUCGAACCAUCUAGUAGCUGGUCCCCUUCGAAGUAUCCCUCAGGACAGCUGGAGCUGCGCAGCUUUAUCACGUAAAGCAAAUGAUUAGAGGAAUUGGGGACAUGCUGACCUCGACCCAUUCUCAAACUUUAAAUGGGUAAGGUUCUGCUGUUGCAUUGACGAACUUUUGGGACCAGUGGCGCUUCUAAGUGGGCCAUUUUUGGUAAGCAGAACUGGCGAUGAGGGGUGAGCCUAACGCUUGGUUUAAAGUGUUCAACAGCACGCUCAUUAGAUACCAUAAAGGGUGUUGGUUCAUUUGAACAGUAGGACGGUGGUCAUGGAAGUCGAAAUCCGCUAAGGAGUGUGUAACAACUCACCUACCGAAUGAAGUAGUCCCGAAAAUGGAUGACGCUUAAGCGGGCGACUGAUACCAAGCCAUUGUUUCAACAUCGUGGAGACAAUGAGUAGGAGGGCGUUGGGGUCUGUGGUGAAGCUUGUGGCGCAAGCCUGAGUGGAGCAGCCUUUGGU